AUAGAUGCAAGAUUUGAAGGCUGCGUUGAGGUGGUCGACGACACGUAUGUGACCAACCCUGCCGGUGACUGCCCUCGCACUCGGGGCCCGUGCACGACGCCUUUAUGUGGAAGACAUCCACCGUGAGCCAGGACUGGGCAGUGGACGCCGUGGCCAGGUGAUAGUGCAUACUCGCUUCAACCUUGGCUGCUUAACCCCAUCCCUGGAGCACAUCCUGUCGAAUCCUCU